rnacentral:piRNA from 1 species
CUCUUAAUUAGCUCUAUCUGAUC